ACAUCAGUGUAGGCAGUGACUGUAUUUUGCCUGUUUCUAUUUUGAAGCCAUUGGAAAAGGGAGCUUAUACCUUUAGCCGUCACUGAUAUUUGAUUUUCUCUCUCAGAAUGGGGGAAUCAAAGCCAAAGAAAGGUUGCACCUGCGCUGAGAAGUCACUACAUAUAAGAGUGGAGCAGCUCACAAAGGAUAAGGAACAGUUACAGAAUGAGGUGGCCGAGCUCACCGAGGAAAGGGAGGCACUUCUGGAGAAGGCGGCCCGCUACGAGGAGUAUGUAGAGGAACUGUGGACACUGAUAAGCCAGCUAAGGGAAUUAAUACACCGUGAGAAGGUGGAGAUUGGUGAUGCUAUAUCCCAUUGCGGCUGCAAGAACUGCAAGUCCCAAGAGUAAAAUGUUGUCCCUGACUCAGGUACAGACUGAAGGCUUGCAUCAUGCAGUAGGAUGAAGGAUUUUAAAAAGGGCUACAAAAAUAAUAGAAAAUAAGGAUGAAUCAAAGCAUGAGUUCUAAAAAUAAAUUUCAUAAUGUUUAAUAACAAAUAAUGGUUGUGGAGUAUUUUGUGCAUUUGACAUUU